rnacentral:rRNA from 1 species
UCUUUUUUGCGUCACGGCUCGACGGAGUGGCACGCCCGGGGCGUUAUAUAUAUUUUUGCGGCACCUCGUGGUCGCUUUUUGGCUGGGGGUAAAAAGUGGGGAUUCGCAAGGUAGGCAAGACCAUCGUGUAGGCAUGAGAAUGAGCUGGAGGGGCAAGCAUAAGUACCCCCGGCGUUCAGAACAUGUCGGAUGCGAUCAUACCAGCACUAAAGCACCGGAUCCCAUCAGAACUCCGAAGUUAAGCGUGCUUGGGCGAGAGUAGUACUAGGAUGGGUGACCUCCUGGGAAGUCCUCGUGUUGCAUCCC